GAUGAACGCUGGCGGCGUGCCUAAUACAUGCAAGUCGAGCGAACGGACGAGAAGCUUGCUUCUCUGAUGUUAGCGGCGCACGGGUGAGUCACACGUGGAUAACCUCCCUAUAUUACUGGGAUAACUUCGGAAAACCGUCGCUAAUACCGGAUAAUCUUUUGAACCGCAUGGUUCAAUAGUGAAAGACGGUCUUUCUGUCACUUAUAGAUGGAUCCGCGCUGCAUUAGCUAGUUGGUAAGGUCACGGCUUACCAAGGCAACCAUGCGUAACCGACCUAACGGGCGGAUCGGCGACACUGGAACGUAGACAGGGUCCAGACUCCUGCGAGAGGCAGCAGUAGGGAAUGUUCGGCAGUGGUCGAAAGUCUGACGGAGCAACGCCGCGUGAGAGAUGAAGGUCUUCGGAUCGUAAAACUCUGUUAUUAGGGAAGAACAGAUGUGGAAGUAAAUGUGCACAUCUUGACGGUACUUAAUCAGAAAGCCACGGCUAACUACGUG
rnacentral:rRNA from 1 species